rnacentral:rRNA from 1 species
UCAGAUUGAACGCUGGCGGCAGGCCUAACACAUGCAAGUCGAGCGGUAACACAGAGAGCUUGCUCUCGGGUGACGAGCGGCGGACGGGUGAGUAAUGUCUGGGAAACUGCCUGAUGGAGGGGGAUAACUACUGGAAACGGUAGCUAAUACCGCAUAACGUCGCAAGACCAAAGUGGGGGACCUUCGGGCCUCAUGCCAUCAGAUGUGCCCAGAUGGGAUUAGCUAGUAGGUGGGGUAAUGGCUCACCUAGGCGACGAUCCCUAGCUGGUCUGAGAGGAUGACCAGCCACACUGGAACUGAGACACGGUCCAGACUCCUACGGGAGGCAGCAGUGGGGAAUAUUGCACAAUGGGCGCAAGCCUGAUGCAGCCAUGCCGCGUGUAUGAAGAAGGCCUUCGGGUUGUAAAGUACUUUCAGCGAGGAGGAAGGCGUUAAGGUUAAUAACCUUGGCGAUUGACGUUACUCGCAGAAGAAGCACCGGCUAACUCCGUGCCA